AAUGCAAGUAGUUCUGAAAUCCCCACUGAAAUCCCUGCUAAGAAAGCAAAAGGUUCAUCUGUACAAAAUUGGAUGCAGCUCAAGGGACCAAAAAUUCUAUUCCGGAAGCUAAAGGUUCGUCUCUAUCGAAAUUGGAUGCAGCUAAAGGCCAC